GGAGAUACUAUUAGACUGAGACCGGGAGAGGUUAGAGGUACGUCCCAGGGUAGAGGUGAAAUUCUGUAAUCCUGGGAGGACCGCCUGUUGCGAAGGCGUCUAACUGGAACGGUCUGACGGUGAGGGACGAAAGUUAGGGGCGCGAACCGGAUUAGAUACCCGGGUAGUCCUAACUGUAAACGAUGCGGACUUGGUGUUGGGGUGGCUUUGAGCUGCUCCAGUGCCGAAGGGAAGCUGUUAAGUCCGCCGCCUGGGAAGUACGGUCGCAAGACUGAACUUAAAGGAAUUGGCGGGGGAGCACCACAACGCGUGGAGCCUUGCGGUUUAAUUGGAUUCAACGCCGGACAUCUCACCAGAGGCGACAGCUGUAUGAUAGCCAGGUUGAUGACUUUGCUUGACUAGCUGAGGGGAGGUGCAUGG
rnacentral:rRNA from 1 species